CGAGACUGUCAUCUUACUAUUCUCUUUUUUGUCUGACUUCCUUAAGGCCUACAAAGUGUCUCACCCAGGCCCCUAUCUGUGGCCUUGAGUGAGCUGUAGCUGCACCUGCUGCUCCCCCAGUCCAGCCUUUAUUAUACCGGAAGCAUCAAACCUUGGUCUUUCAUCAGGCUCAAAUUCCCUAUUAAUACAGAACUGCAAGUUGUAUUCUCAAAUCAAUUUAUAUGCAUGAUCAUGACCCUGUUUGUAUCUGCCACUACAGUCCCCCCUUUGGUCCUUCUAAAAGGACCAACACUUCAAACUUUAACAUCAGGGAGUGCAGUCGUCUUAUCAUCAUAACAGAAACAACAGCCUGAGUAUACUGUAAAUGACACACGAUAUAUAUAGUUUCAAACAGUGUAAAUGCAACCCCAUCCUACGAGACUGAUAAUGAGUAUCAACCCACAGGGAAGUGCUUCAACUAUCAAGACGAUAGUUGAGAGCUCUCCCUGAGCCAUCUUCUGGACCUGCCCUCAAACAGAUGACCCAGUGAUAUUCAUUGACAGGUUUCUAUUCUGACCUGGCAACAUGACAGGGGAAACAUCCUCUCCAAUUAGCUGUUUAUGAGAGGUAAAAUGCCCCACCAUGUGGCCCACCAACUGACCUGUUCUGUUGGUGCAAACAUAAUAUGUGUACAUACAGCAUUAAAUCACACAUUGUGGUUAACUCUUUGAAGGCACUCGUGACUGUGACACACGUGAAUCAAACUCUUGAUGAAUUACACCAUUCAACACCUCAAGGUUUGUUUUUAAGCAUGCAUAACUAGGUAACUCGUGCUCAUGUGAAUAUAUCAUAGGUUUAAGAUUUUUUUUUUUUUUUUUUCAGAAAAGCACAAGAUUACAUAGACAAAUUCUUAAACCCUUUAGAAUUAGAAUAUUAUCUAGACACACUUUGUAAAGAUGAUCCCUCUUUGGUCAGUUCAGCAAACAUUAGAUCAGUAAUUAUUAGAUCAUUGACGUAAAACUCUCAUACCACCUUUUGUUUUUGUAAAAAAAUUUCUUCUGGUAUUUUUCCAAUGAUCCAAUUACAUAAAGACAGGUAAGAGCUCUAUCCAAUCUUAGCACCUGGACUUAAAUGACACGCUUGGGUUAUUUGUUAGCCUUGGUGACAUAUUACCCGUGGUGUUGCCUUGGUUAGUGUGGCGGCCCUAAGGCCAACAUUACACCAGAGUCCCUAUGAACUUACUGGUUUCCUGUAAACCACACUGGUUUAAUACAUUUCUUGUGCUUUUUAUGGCACUCAGCUUUCUGACGUGACCUUCACAAAUGAGUGCCCGCUUUUCUUCAUCAACACAUUUACAACAUUUGACUCUACAUAACUAUGUUGAAUACAAGGGAUCGUCGUACAAUUGUCGGAACAUAAUUUAUAAACCUGUCAGCCUGUCUCUCUCCUUGUACAGUAGUCUCUGUGUUGAUAGCUCACCCUUCUUCCUGGAGGGUGCAGGCACUGACAGAUACCUCUGCUCUGUUGUAUCCAUUUGGAUUGUUCCUCUGCAGGAGUGGACAGCAACCUUAGCCAGGCUCACAGCCUUGCUGGCACAUUUAUCUAAAUUACAUUUUGACCUCUAUCCAUGAUGUUGUCUUCCUAGCUGAUUAUCCACGGAGAGCUCAUCCUGUAGUUGUGGUUGGGCUAAUUGUUGAAGGGCUGGAUUCACACAUUUUUAUGGUGGUAGCAUUGCCCCCAUUGGUGGCCGGAUACCAGGUCUCAUUGCUGCACUUCAUUAGUCUCACCACGUCAGGUUGGUUGUGUUUCUCCAGGUUACAUACACCAACUCGUCCUCGUGCUACACAGAAAAGGAAGAUUAGUUUAUCAAGUUUACAUAGCUGUCAUUGUUUUUAAUUUUUCAUUGGCAUAUUUGAGAGUUGGAACUCCAUCUAUCCAAUUUCACUGCCAUGUGCACUGCACAACAAGCAAGACAUUCAGUUAUAUCCGAACAGUCACCUCUGUGACUUCCUGGCAGUGGUAUUCUUUUGACGUUUGUAACGUACAAUACACUCUUAUUGGUCUUUUUCUGUGCUUCUUAGUUUGGCCAAAUCUCUUUUUUCUCAGUUACUCUUUAGCCGAAUCCAUCUACUGGCUUCUAAAAGUUUCAUUUUCUGAUUGUUUCUGUGUCCUAACAUGACGUGUUUGUGCGUAUUACCUGUAAUGUCACCAUCCAUUCUCUUGACAGUCAGUGGUGCGGGGUAGUCCCACCCAAUGUUAACCUGGAGCGUUAGCUAUUGUGCCAUCGGUGGUUAGUGAACAACCAUAUGUGUCAGCUUUUACAUACAGAAGAUGUAGUAGUUCUCCCAUUUUCACUAUGCCCUUGUAAUUGUGGCUAAGGUGACCAUGGUAAGUGCACAGUUAACAUGUGGUGUGUUAAUAGUGGCACAUGUCAUUAGGACUUCUCUUUCUACCUCCCCCCUUGCGAAACCUGAAAGGGUUAGCACAAAAAGAAAGAAAACAAACAAAUUAAUCUGAGUCAGAGAACGCUCUGACUCUGGCCAGAAUUCAGGCGUGGACGGGUGGUGUAUAUCUUGCAGGCCGGACGGUCCUGCACGUGCGCUUUCCAGGGUGUCACUGCCCGUGGUUGUGCUGGUGGCAUCAUCCUCGGCAGCCUCUCCGACACUACUAUCAGUCUUUCACCUGUUGGAGGACACAUCUGUAGAUUUGAGUUAAACCCCAUAAAUAGUGCUGCUGAAGCGGUCCCUCUAUAGGGCCCCUGCACUGUGGCAGUGGCAUUGGGCAUCCAGUGAGCAUUUCAUGCAGGGUUAGAUGGGUUAGUCUGUUAGUUUGUGAGUGCAUAGACAUUAGUGCUAAUGGCAAAGCAUCUUCUCAGGUGAGUUUACCAUUACCAUCAGCCAUGAUUUUGGCUAUUUUAGUUUUUGAUAUACCACUGGCAUGUUCUACUGAACCUUGUGACUGUGGACAUGUUAUAUGUAUGUUUUUAUUAGAUGCUUGAUGUUUCUGUAGUUAAAAUGAUGAUUUUACUUCUUCUGUAACAGGUAUGUGAACUUUGAUGUGAAAAUCAUGAUGCAAUCAACACAGACACUUUAUAUAUAUGCUUUUUUGUAAAGGAUCUCAGUAUUUUCAACAUCAUUAUAUAUCAUUUCUAAUAUUUCAUGUAGCCCUGUCUAAAAUCAGUUAGGAUACAGUGCAUAAAAUCCAAUUCAAAGUAUUCUAAAAUGUUAUAUUAAAAAAAGUUCAUAAUAUUAAAAUGUAUGGUUAAAAUAUGUGCUGGAUAAAAAACUAUAAUAUGUAUAGUGUAUUAAAAGACAAUUUACAAUUCAAAGAUAAAUAUUCUAAAAAAGGUCAAGUUCAUUAAGUUGAAGAGAUGUGUGAUUCAGAGAACGUGAGAGGAAUAAGCAGUGUAAAUGCAAGUGUAAUCUAACAUGUUAUCUGUUUUGUGUCAGUCAUUUCAUUCCUGUGUUCCUAUUGGUUGUUAUCUAACUCACGAGCCAAUCAAGGUAAAUUCAUGGGGUGAGAGGCGGGACUAGUGGCGCAGGUUAGUUUGGUGCGUACGUGAGCAUGCGAGAGACAGAGAGCCACGAUCGAUCAGCGAGCUAAGACGGAGGCAUCGUGUGGGGAGCAUUUAAGUUUUAUCGUGGUGGAGGUCGACUACCCGUUGUCCUGAUAUAAACUUCUGUGUGACCUGCAAGAGGUGAAUAUAAUGUGUAUGCCUGUAUUUUGUGCUAUAUCUAACUGUUAUAGUCUAAUGACACUGUAUUGGGUAAAUGUGGUUAGUGACAUGCUAGCUAGCGAUAGCCGACAGUGCUAAUGUGUUUUUAUAUCAACGUUCUGUCCUAAGAUGUUAAUGAAAGUUAAAGCGAGCUAAUGCUAAUUCAAAAAGAGAUAGUGUUUUGUAUUGUGGCUCAGUGUAUGAUAAUAUGCUUAAAGGAGACGGACGUUGGAGAAGGAGAGAGAUUGAGACUGUCCAGACAGACGGCCCUGCUGUUUUUUAUUCUUCCUCGUGACUCUGCUGCUGAGCGCCAUUGCCCGUGUGUGUGCUGGAACUGUGACUGCCAUUGCCCUUAUGAGACUGCCAUCGUUUCCCCUUUCUAUCCCUACUAACAAACCAUUGGAUUCGUGAGUACUAACUGAAAACAGUUUGAAAGUGCACGUGCUUUUAUUUUUGCUCAGUUGAGUGAAGCGGCCAUUACAGUUUUUAGGCCCCACCGCACACAAGCCUCAUCCAUCAGGCCUGCAACGGGUUUGAGUGUAUUUUCUGGUGUGUUGUAUGUGAAUGUGUGUGGGCCCACCGGUACAACAAAAGGUAUUUUUGAAAAGUGAAAGAAGUGUUUUAUUUUCUUAUUUGAGGUAUUCAUUUUUAUUAUACAAGGGUACAAAGUGAAAGGCUUUUAUUUUGAAACCAAAAGGGAAGUAACCUGUGAAAGAGCUGUGAACUUUGUCUAUAACUUGUCUCUUUAUGCCCUAAUAACAUAUUUUCCUAUUUUACUUUUUUUGUCAAUUGUGUAAAUAAAUACCGGUGAGAGUUUAUAUUUAAAGUACAAUUGUGGUGGUCAUUAUUAAAAUAGCAUUAUUGAAAUAACAUUCAUUAUUAAAGUAAUAUUCAUUAUUAAAUUUAGUUGUAUUUUCCUACAACGAGCCCAGGCCCAGUCUCAUUGUAUUAACCAUUCUAGCUUUUCUUUUAACUACAUGGGACCUGGGUUACAUAAAUGGAGGCACCGCUGGGAUCUCAAUUAACAUAAAGUAAAAAAAAAAUUGAUAACAUUGACCCCACAACUUUAAAGCUUUAAUGUAAAAGUAACGUGCUAACAGUAAUUAAAAUCAAGUGCAAUAAUGGCAAGUCAAACAAGCAGUCCGUCACAAAUGGAACUAAUUAACUGGUGUAAAGGAGAGUCCGUAGAAGUAAAACAUUCCCUCCUGUUAUAUGGAGUGCCUGAAGAGAGUUCUGAAAAAGACAUUGAAGAAACAGCAGGGACCAUCAAAGCAUUGGGGAAAGUUAGAGUUAGGGGCAAAAUGUUUAACCCUCAACAGCAAUCACUCAUGGUGCUAUGUGAGUGUAGUGAAGAAAUAGACCCCUCCAGAAUUCCCCCUGAGAUUAUGCCUGUGAAUGGCGGAAGCAGUUGGAAAGCUGUCUACUACAUCGAGCCUCAGCUUGAUAAAUUUGAAGACAAAUUGCUCACCUUUCUGCAAAGUGAAGGGAAAACAUUGGAGGACAUUCAAGAUCUAUGCACCCCCACCAAGGAGGGUAACAGCAACCCAGAAGACAUCAUCCGUGCGGUCGGUGAUGUUUUGAACAGGAGCAACAAACAGUCUGACAGUCAGACAUACAGACGUCUGCGGACAUUUUCCGGGGUCAGUCCCACCCCCGCUGGAGAAGAGUCCUUAGACAAUUGGUUGGAGCAUGCAACACUCUUGAUAACAGAAGGUGAGUGCUCAGACAAAGAGAAACGACGUCGGAUAUUGGAAAGUCUCAAAGGGCCCGCCUUUGAAAUCAUUCAAGCUGUGCGUCUGACUCAACCUGAUGCUAGCCCCCAUGAGUACAUAGAGGCUAUAGAGAGCAUUUUUGGUACCGUAGAGACUGGAGAAGAACUAUAUUUGGCAUUUAGAGCCCUUCGCCAACAGCCUGGUGAACGUCUAUCAGAGUUUCUGCGAAGAUUAGAGAAAUCUCUUGUCAAAGUAGUACGAGCAGGUGGCUUACCUGUUAGCGCUGCCAAUAGUGCUCGCUUAGAACAGCUCAUCAGAGGAGCCACCUCAGAGGUCAUGUUGCUACAGCUGAAAAUUAGGGAGCGGAGCAGUAAUCCCCCUACCUUCCUGACCCUGUUACGAGAAGUAAUGGAAGAGGAAGCCCGCCAGUCAGCCAAACAGAACCAAGUGGCACCCAUGCGUCCCCAGCGUGUACGCACUGUCCAAGCAGAAAAAGAAACAGAACCAGACUCAGCGGCUCAGAGUACACUGCAAGCCCAGAUUCAAGAGUUGAGAGCGCAGUUAGCAGAAAGAAACAACUCAUGGCCACAGUCGUCAUCUGAUGAUUCCUUUAAAGGUCCGAAAGAGAAAACAAAGCAGAAAAAUGAGUCGCAGAGUGAGCUACAAUCACUAAGAAAACAAGUGCAAACCCUAGAAAGUAAGAUUAGUGUAAUGGCAGUAAAAUACACAUCAGAUCCCCCACGAGAACACACACCACAGCCCCACCGAUACAAAGCCGCUCCAGGUAACAAGUCUGCUCCUCCCAAAGUGCCAUCUUCCAAAGACAAUGAUGAGUACUUUUGCUACCGGUGUGGGGAAAAUGGUCACAUAGCUCCUAGAUGCACUGCACCUGAGAACUCCCAGAAAGUUAUUCGAAAGCUCAUACGCUUGGUGCGAGGUUCCCCUGGCCCCAAACAAGAGAGCCCAAAGCCCGCUGCUGAAGAGCAGUGUGUAGCUAGAGUAAACAAAGUUGAAGUCCCAGAGAAUAACACUGUCCUACCUGAGGGUCUUGUAGGUCCAUCCUUUAUCCAUACCAUCAAAGUCAAUGAUGUGGUCUGCGAUGCUCUCAUUGAUAGUGGGUCUAAUGUGACUAUCAUUUUUGAAAACUGGUUUGAUGAACACUUACCGGGUGUCCCCCUAAACCCCCUCUCUGGCCUUGGCCUAUGGGGUCUCGCUGACUCAAAGUAUCCUUACAAAGGCUACGUUGUUGUAGAGAUGGAGUUCCCUGAGGAGAUCACUGGUGUGUCAGGACCGAUAGAAGUGCUCGCAUUGAUUUGUCCAGAGCUAAAAAACCAACAACAGACCCCUGUGCUGGUCGGAACCAAUACAUCUCUGUUCCGCCGCCUAUGGGAGCUGGUUAAGACAAAGAGUGAUAAGCAUACUGUGCACUCCAUGCGAAUCCAGUCUGUGUACGCCCCUGUUAAUGCGCAAGAACAGCUAGCCAAGAAUGAAGUCUUGGGCCAGCUAAAGUGGAAAGGCCCCGGUCCACUCUCGAUAGCUCCAGGAGCACAGUACUAUGCAACCUGCAAAGUGGAAAGACUGAGUGCUCCAUCCAAAGACCUUGUGCUGAUUGAUGCACCCACAGCCCAGUUACUCCCUGCCAGUGUGCUGGUAAAGCCUGGUGUGCUCUCAGAUGCUGAUAUUGACAGCAACAGUUUCACUGUGCUCAUGCAGAAUGAGUCCAAGAAAACAACCUCUAUCCCAGUGGGGACUGUAGUUGCCGAAAUGUAUGCUGUGGACACAGUUACCCCAGUCCAGCCGUCCGACCUCGCAGCUGAAACCCUGGACCCAAGCCUCUUCAAUUUCGGGAAUUCCCCUAUCCCCGAGGAGUGGAAGAGUCGGCUUCAGCAGAAGUUAGCUGAAAGGCGGAAUGUUUUCUCGUUGCAUGAAUGGGAUGUUGGCUUGGCUAAGGGAGUUGAACACCGCAUACGCCUGCAUGACCCCCGAUCCUUCAGAGAAAGGUCAAGGAGACUAGCUCCUGCAGACAUUGACGAUGUAAGGCGACAUAUACAGCAGAUGCUGGCCGCUGGAAUCAUCACCGAGUCCCGCAGUCCCUACGCCUCACCAAUCGUCGUAGUCCGGAAGAAGAACGGGACUAUAAGAAUCUGUAUAGACUACAGAACGCUCAACAACCGCACCACACCAGACCAGUACACAAUGCCACGCAUCGACGACGCCCUGGAUUCCUUGUCAGGUAGCCAAUGGUUCUCAGUGCUGGAUCUGCGUAGUGGCUACUACCAGAUAGAGAUGGCUGAAGAGGAUAAAGAAAAGACAGCAUUUAUUUGUCCUCUUGGUUUCUAUCAAUUUGAGCGCAUGCCACAGGGCAUCACAGGAGCGCCAGCCACAUUUCAGCGCGUGAUGGAGAAAGCUGUCGGAGAUAUGCAUCUUCUGGAAGUCCUUGUGUACUUGGACGAUAUCAUUGUGUUUGGCAAAACACUCGAAGAGCAUGAGCAACGUCUUCUCAAAGUGCUGGAUAGGCUAGAGGAGAUCGGGUUAAAAGUGUCUAUUGACAAAUGUCAAUUCUGCCAGCCUCAGGUUAAGUACGUGGGUCAUAUUGUUUCUGUCGAUGGGAUAGCUACAGAUCCAGAGAAGGUUGAAGCCGUCAAACAUUGGAAAGCACCCACUCACCUGAAGCCUCUCAAGUCCUUUCUCGGAUUCUGCAGUUACUACCGGAGGUUUAUCGCAAACUACUCCGCCAUCAUUCGUCCUCUUUCUGAGCUCACCAAGGGAUAUGCCCCCACGUGGCAAGGCCCCAAACCCAAAAAGAGUGUGGACUCAGUCAAAGACUAUUUCAAACCAUCAGAGCCCUUUGGAGAUCGUUGGACUCCAGCCUGUCAGGAAGCCUUUGAGCGGAUCCGUGACUGUUUGAUCAACGCCCCUGUGUUGGCAUUCGCUGACCCCACCAAGACCUACAUCUUGCAUGUUGACGCCAGUAUGAAUGGGUUAGGCGCUGUCCUAAACCAGGAAUAUCCUGAGGGCCUUCGGCCUGUAGCGUUUGCCAGUCGGAAGCUUAAAGACUCAGAGCAUAACUAUCCAGUCCAUCAGUUGGAAUUUCUGGCACUAAAAUGGGCUGUCGUGGACAAGUUUCAUGACUACUUGUAUGGUGCCAAGUUUAUUGUAAGAACUGACAACAACCCAUUAACAUAUGUGUUGACCUCUGCCAAACUCAGUGCUGUUGGACACCGUUGGCUCGCCGCCCUUGCUACCUAUGAUUUCACCAUCCAGUAUCGUCCUGGGAGGCAAAACAUCGAUGCUGACCUGCUGUCUCGACAGUACACUUCAGACGAGGCUAAAGAAUGGACAAGUGUCCCACCUGAUGGCAUCAAAGCCCUCUGCAAACGUGCCUGCAUCAGUCAAGAAACAGAUGUGACUGACAGAUUGGUGGAUCAGCUGGGAGCUCCUGCCACAGCAGUACCAGAAGCCUAUGUGUUCCCAGUGAACCUUAGCUUAAACACCCUUGACCAGCUGAGCCCGAAAGAUAUCCAGGCAGCACAAGAUAUGGACCCAGCAAUUGGGCCACUGAAGAAAGCCAUGGAGAAGAAAAAAGUGCUGACUCGCUCCCAAAAUGAUUCGCCUGAGACUGUGUUGUUGCUAAGAGGAAGCCGCAAGUUGGAGUUGAAGGACGGAUUACUCUACAGAGUAAGAGAGAAAAUGUGUGGAAAACAGAUCAAACAACUUGUCUUGCCCGCAAGAUACCGACCGAUGGUGUUAAGAUCUUUGCAUGAUGAAUGUGGACACAUGGGAGUGGAGCGCACUACUGAACUGGUCAAAGACAGAUUUUAUUGGCCGCGAAUGACAGCUGAGGUUGAGGAGUUCAUUCGAACCUGUGGAAGAUGUAUCUCCAGGAAGACACUCCCUCAGCAUGCCGCGCCCUUGAAUCAAAUAACAAGUAAUGGUCCUUUAGAUUUAGUAUGUAUAGACUUUCUGCAGCUAGAGCCUGACUCUAAAGGUGUUACUAAUGUGUUAGUAGUGACAGAUCAUUACACACGCUACGCACAAGCGUUUGCCACCAAAGAUCAAAAGGCAAUCACUGUUGCAAGAGUAUUGUGGGAGAAGUAUUUUGUGCACUACGGCCUACCUGCGCGGAUACACUCAGAUCAGGGCCGAGAUUUCGAAAGUCGACUGAUCAAAGAGCUCCUGUCCAUGCUUGGGGUUCGGAAGUCACGCACAUCCCCCUACCACCCUCAAGGAGAUGCGCAACCAGAAAGGUUCAAUCGAACGCUCCUUGCAAUGCUUGGUACCCUGGACACUGUGAAGAAACAAUGCUGGAGCCAGCAUAUCACCUACCUGGUACAUGCGUACAACUGCACAAGAAAUGAUUCCACAGGAUACUCACCAUAUCAGCUCAUGUUUGGGAGAGAAGCUAGGUUGCCCAUUGACAUCUGUUUUGGAAUCUCGCCAAAUGGUGAAAGUGAGUCCUCUUACCAGCAGUACAUUACCAGGAUGAGAAAGGAGUUGCAAAAAGCUUAUCAACUAGCAUCUGACGCUGCUACAAAGAGUCACCUGAAAAACAAAGCACGCUAUGACAAUCGUGUGAGAGACUUACCUUUGGAGAAAGGAGACAGGAUCCUCAUUCAGAAUGUGGGCCUAAAAGGAAAGCAUAAACUUCAAGAUCGAUGGAAAUCAACGCCGUAUGUUGUUUUGGAGAAGCUGCCCAACCUGCCAGUCUACAAGGUCAAACCAGAGCAUGGUCCAGGUGUCGUCAAAACUCUCCAUCGAGACCACCUGUUGCCUAUCGGAUACAUGGUCAGGAUGUCAAACCUGCCAGAUGACAAGGAACUCACUCGGAGACCCGUCACAAGAGCUCAGCUUACUCAGCAACAUCGAGCAACCAAGUCUACUGACCCAGUAGAGGAAAGUGAUGCCGAGUCAUCAGGCUCAGAGUUUGAGACGGUCCAUAAUCCACCUGAUUUGGAUGUGGAGGAAAUUCAGAGACAGCUGGCAGCUGAAAAUCAAACCUCGGAAGAGGAUGAAAGAUCUGAAGAACACUGUGAAGCUACAGAAAAUCAACAGCUCACAGAAACAGAGUAUGAGGAAUUGUCUGAGGGUGUUGAACCUACUCAGUCAGACUCAGACGUCAGAGAAACAAAUAAUGAUUCUGUGGAAGAACAAGAUGUAGAAAGUAGAGCAAGCUCACCUAUGUCAAACAGGAUCAGGAAUGAAAAACCUUCUAAAAACCAAAGAAAUGAGAGUGAGGAAUCGUCCACAGUCAGAAGAUCUCGGAGACAACCGAAACCAACUGUGAGAUUAACCUAUGAAAAGCCUGGUCAACAAUCCUGUGAACCAGUUACCAUUAUGCACCAUGGUAUGGUCAUUCAACUCAAGUUAAACCCUCCAGACCAAGUCACUGAACCAAGAAAAAGGUGCAGAACAUCUAAAAGGCGUGAAGAGGAAAAAGAAAUAAGGGAUCACUCUUCCAAGUCAAAGAGAGAAAAAAAAAGGUGUGAUGAGGACAUCUACACGGUCAGAAGGGGGAGGGUGUAGCCCUGUCUAAAAUCAGUUAGGAUACAGUGCAUAAAAUCCAAUUCAAAGUAUUCUAAAAUGUUAUAUUAAAAAAAGUUCAUAAUAUUAAAAUGUAUGGUUAAAAUAUGUGCUGGAUAAAAAACUAUAAUAUGUAUAGUGUAUUAAAAGACAAUUUACAAUUCAAAGAUAAAUAUUCUAAAAAAGGUCAAGUUCAUUAAGUUGAAGAGAUGUGUGAUUCAGAGAACGUGAGAGGAAUAAGCAGUGUAAAUGCAAGUGUAAUCUAACAUGUUAUCUGUUUUGUGUCAGUCAUUUCAUUCCUGUGUUCCUAUUGGUUGUUAUCUAACUCACGAGCCAAUCAAGGUAAAUUCAUGGGGUGAGAGGCGGGACUAGUGGCGCAGGUUAGUUUGGUGCGUACGUGAGCAUGCGAGAGACAGAGAGCCACGAUCGAUCAGCGAGCUAAGACGGAGGCAUCGUGUGGGGAGCAUUUAAGUUUUAUCGUGGAGGUCGACUACCCGUUGUCCUGAUAUAAACUUCUGUGUGACCUGCAAGAGGAGACGGACGUUGGAGAAGGAGAGAGAUUGAGACUGUCCAGACAGACGGCCCUGCUGUUUUUUAUUCUUCCUCGUGACUCUGCUGCUGAGCGCCAUUGCCCGUGUGUGUGCUGGAACUGUGACUGCCAUUGCCCUUAUGAGACUGCCAUCGUUUCCCCUUUCUAUCCCUACUAACAAACCAUUGGAUUCGUGAGUACUAACUGAAAACAGUUUGAAAGUGCACGUGCUUUUAUUUUUGCUCAGUUGAGUGAAGCGGCCAUUACAGUUUUUAGGCCCCACCGCACACAAGCCUCAUCCAUCAGGCCUGCAACGGGUUUGAGUUUAUUUUCUGGUGUGUUGUAUGUGAAUGUGUGUGGGCCCACCGGUACAACAAAAGGUAUUUUUGAAAAGUGAAAGAAGUGUUUUAUUUUCUUAUUUGAGGUAUUCAUUUUUAUUAUACAAGGGUACAAAGUGAAAGGCUUUUAUUUUGAAACCAAAAGGGAAGUAACCUGUGAAAGAGCUGUGAACUUUGUCUAUAACUUGUCUCUUUAUGCCCUAAUAACAUAUUUUCCUAUUUUACUUUUUUUGUCAAUUGUGUAAAUAAAUACCGGUGAGAGUUUAUAUUUAAAGUACAAUUGUGGUGGUCAUUAUUAAAAUAGCAUUAUUGAAAUAACAUUCAUUAUUAAAGUAAUAUUCAUUAUUAAAUUUAGUUGUAUUUUCCUACAACGAGCCCAGGCCCAGUCUCAUUGUAUUAACCAUUCUAGCUUUUCUUUUAACUACAUGGGACCUGGGUUACAUUCAGUUCUAAUAUUAGCUUUGAAUUUCUUUGUUAUGAACACACCAUUUGGGCAAUAGAGUAGGUUGGUCAAAUGCUACUUGAUUAACAACAGCCUUCUUCAGCUCACACCCUGUAACUCCAAAGAACAGAUCAUAGCGUUUACUUGAAUAUAAACUGGCUUAAACUGUAUUUGCAACACAAUUGGUUAUAAUAUUUGAAAUAGCAGCUUAUAUGUAAUCGUCGUAAAUUGUAUAUAUCACUUGCAUAUAGGUAUUCACUUCAGACAACAACCACUAAUGAGACAGCAUGCUGAAAGGAGCUUGAAAAACAACAACAACAAAAAAAUACACAACAAAACCUUGAUGUACUAAAAAAGGAAAAGUUCACUGAGCUUGGACCCAGUCGACAGCGAGGAGAGAAAGGGAGGGUGAUUACGUCACACCGGACGUGCAGUAGAGCGGGGGGCGCUAGCAUCCCCCCUCUCACACACACCAGGGGAGGAGCAAUGGAGCUGCAGUUUGAAACACAACUUUUCAGCACACAACUCCCUCAGCCAUCAGCGAGAUAGGAACCCGCUCUUAAAACAAUAUAAAACCUGCCCGGGGAUGUGUCUCCUCGGCUGUAACCUCAACCGACCGUCACUUGGAUUCCUUAUCUCAACGACACUUUACACAUGCAUUUAUAAACUCUUAGCCUGCACGAAUAGUAUUCAUAAGUCAAAAACAACACACAAGAACAACCAUCUCAUAAAUCACAUUCAAUACUAAUAUAUCUAUUAGCACACACAUUUUAGACCAGAACUAUCAAGUUUGUCUAAUAACCUUCACAUCGUUUGAGUACUGCAACACACUUAACCACUUAUUAACAGUAAUACAAAGCUCUUUAGAACAGCAAAAAUGUCUCCAAUGUCUGACAGUUACAUCAGCACCAAAUCACACAACACUGCAAAAUAGCACAAUUUAUUUUAGGAAACACUAAUUUUUCCAGUAGAUUCUUCAACACACACUCAAGACACAGGUAGUUGACAACACACAGUCAACAACCUCAUACACUACUUUUUUACUUUAUUAAACCCCCAUAAGAAUGUUCGAACAUUUAUUGUUGGUUUAACUGAAACUUUUUUGUUGGUCUUCGAUUUUUGUUAACAACUAUUAUCGUUGUUUAUUUUCAGUUCAGAUUGUUUUUUUUUUGUGUGUUUUUUUCAGUUUUGGUUCUCGCAUGCAUUAUUCUCACAUUUCCUUUAAUUUAGACUUUAAUUUACCUUGCUUUUUGAUUAUUUAUCCGAUGUUUGCCGUCCAUGGACUUAAGGCUGUAUUUUAACCUGCAUUUCUCUGUCCUACAAAUACCCUUUUCUUUUCUCUUAGCCCAAAUUGAAGAGUGCUCUUUUUUUUUUUUUU